GACGGACGCUGGCGGCGUGCUUAACACAUGCAAGUCGAACGGAAAGGCCCUGCUUUUGUGGGGUGCUCGUGUGGCGAACGGGUGAGUAACACGUGAGUAACCUGCCCUUGACUUUGGGGUAACUUCAGGAAACUGGGGCUAAUACCGGAUAAGAGCUCCUGCUGCAUGGUGGUGGUUGGAAAGUUUCGGCGGUGGGGGCUGGACUAGCGGCUUCUCAGCCUGUUGGUGGGGUAGUGGCUGACCAAGGCUUUGACGGGUAGCCGGCCUGAGAGGGUGACCGGCCACAUUGGGACUGCGAUACGGCCCAGACUCCUACGGGAGGCAGCAGGGGGGAAUAUGGCACAAUGGGCGGAAGCGUGAUGCAGCAACGCCGCGUGCGGGAUGACGGCCUUCGGGUUGUAAACCGCUUUCGCCUGUGACGAAGCGGGAGUGACGGUAAUGGGUAAAGAAGCACCGGCUAACUACGUG
rnacentral:rRNA from 1 species